AUUGAGAUAGCUUAUAUAAAGCGUUACAUUGAAGCCGUGACAAAGGGCCCUCCUCCCUCUCAAUA
rnacentral:tRNA from 1 species